rnacentral:rRNA from 1 species
AUUGAACGCUGGCGGCAGGCUUAACACAUGCAAGUCGAACGCCCCGCAAGGGGAGUGGCAGACGGGUGAGUAACGCGUGGGAAUCUACCGUGCCCUGCGGAAUAGCUCCGGGAAACUGGAAUUAAUACCGCAUACGCCCUACGGGGGAAAGAUUUAUCGGGUACGAUGAGCCCGGCGUUGGAUUAGCUAGUUGGUGGGGU